AGUCGAGCGCCCAGCAAUGGGAGCGGCGGACGGGUGCGUAACACGUGGGAACGUACCCUUUGGUUCGGAACAACUCAGGGAAACUUGAGCUAAUACCGGAUGUGCCCGAAAGGGGAAAGAUUUAUCGCCAAAGGAUCGGCCCGCGUUCGAUUAGCUCGUUGGUGAGGUAACGGCUCACCAAGGCAACGAUCGAUAGCUGGUCUGAGAGGACGAUCAGCCACACUGGGACUGAGACACGGCCCAGACUCCUACGGGAGGCAGCAGUUGGGAAUCUUGGACAAUGGAGGAAACUCUGAUCCAGCCAUGCCGCGUGAGUGAUGAAGGCCUUCGGGUUGUAAAACUCUUUCGGCGGGGACGAUAAUGACGGUACCCGCAGAAGAAGCUCCGGCUAACUUCGUGCCAGCAGCCGCGGUAAUACGAAGGGGGCUAGCGUUGUUCGGAAUUACUGGGCGUAAAGCGCGCGCAGGCGGCCGUUCAAGUCAGGGGUGAAAUCCCGGAGCUCAACUCCGGAAUUGCCUUUGAAACUGCUCGGCUCGAGUACGGAAGAGGUGAGUGGAAUUCCCAGUGUAGAGGUGAAAUUCGUAGAUAUUGGGAAGAACACCGGUGGCGAAGGCGGCUCACUGGUCCGUUACUGACGCUCAGGCGCGACAGCGUGGGGAUCAAACAGGAUUAGAUACCCUGGUAGUCCACGCCGUA
rnacentral:rRNA from 1 species